AAUAAAAAGAUAAAAUAAACAAAAAAGAAAAAGAGAAAAGUAGAAUGAAGCCUGUAUGGUUCGAAGUGUAUUUGUAUUGGCAUGCAUAUUGCAUCAAGUGUCUCGUUAGGCUUUUUAUCUCUGAGAGGUAUCUGUUUCCCUUGCUCUUCGAGGUAUCUAUUUCUCCCCUCCCUUUUCUGGUCUAGAAAGACACAAGAGGACCACUCCUAGUGGAUUACGACGUGUCC
rnacentral:lncRNA from 1 species